rnacentral:rRNA from 1 species
UACAGAGGUCUCAAGCGUUGUUCGGAUUUACUGGGCGUAAAGGGUGCGUAGGCGGUCAGCACAAGUCAGUUGUGAAAUCUCCGGGCUUAACUCGGAAAGGUCAACUGAUACUGUGCGACUAGAGUGCGGAAGGGGCAACUGGAAUUCUCGGUGUAGCGGUGAAAUGCGUAGAUAUCGAGAGGAACACCUGCGGCGAAGGCGGGUUGCUGGGCCGACACUGACGCUGAUGCGCGAAAGCCAGGGGAGCGAACGGG